GACGAACGCUGGCGGCGUGCUUAACACAUGCAAGUCGAACGGAAACGCCCUGCUUUUGUCGGAUGCUCGAGUGGCGAACGGGUGAGUCACACGUGAGUAACCUGCCCUUGACUUUGGGAUAACUUCAGGAAACUGGGUCUAAUACCGGAUCUGAGCUCCUGCUGCAUGGUGGGGGUUGGAAUGUUUCGGCGGUUGGGGAUGGACUCGCGGCUUAUCAGCUUGUUGGUGGGGUAGUGGCUUACCAAGGCUUUGACGGGUAGCCGGCCUGAGAGGGUGACCGGCGACAUGGGGACUGAGAGACGGAGCAGACUGCUACGGGAGGCAGCAGUGGGGAAUAUUGCACAAUGAGCGGAAGCCUGAUGCAGAAACGCCGCGUGCGGGAUGACGGCCUGCGGGGUGUAAAACGCUUUCGCCUGUGACGAAGCGUGAGUGACGGUAAUGGGUAAAGAAGCACCGGCUAACUACGUG
rnacentral:rRNA from 1 species